UUCAUUGUUGCUUGAUGGGAACUGGUGCCCUCCCUUCACUUACAACAGCAACACAGCAUUCAGUGUGUUGACACAGCCUGGGCUCACUCAUCCGACCGCAGUAAGUGGGCAGGUUAGUUCUCCACACCUGCUGCAGAACAUGAUGAAUGGACCAGCGUCCACAGAGAUCUAAAUUUAGGCUUGGAAAUUCUAGUGCACCUAAAAGGAUUCACUGGACGGCCACCGCACUGGGCCUCAGACAUGGUUAAAAAAAAAAGCUAAAUGAUGAGAAAGACCAACUCUACCCUCUCCAUGUGGUCGCGAACCAGCAA